rnacentral:rRNA from 1 species
GGCCAGCAGCCGCGGUAAUACGGGGGGUGCAAGCGUUGUCCGGAAUGAUUGGGCGUAAAGCAUCUGUAGGUGGUUUUUAAAGUCGACUGUUAAAGCCCAGGGCUCAACUUUGGAUAAGCGGUCGAGUACUUAAGGACUUGAGUAUGGUAGGGGUAGAGGGAAUUCCUAGUGGAGCGGUGAAAUGCACAGAGAUUAGGAAGAACACCGAGGGCGAAAGCACUCUACUGGGCCAUGACUGACACUGAGAGAUGAAAGUUGGGGGAGCGAAAAGGAUUAGAUACCCUUGUAGUCCCAACCGUAAACGAUGGAUACUAAGUGCUGACAAAAUCAGUGCUGUAGCUAACGCGUUAAGUAUCCCGCCUGGGGAGUAUGCUCGCAAGAGUGAAACUUAAAGGAAUUGGCGGGGGA